rnacentral:rRNA from 1 species
GACGAACGCUGGCGGCGUGCUUAACACAUGCAAGUCGAACGGUAAGGCCCUUCGGGGUACACGAGUGGCGAACGGGUGAGUAACACGUGGGUGAUCUGCCCUGCACUUCGGGAUAAGCCUGGGAAACUGGGUCUAAUACCGGAUAGGACCACUGCCUGCAUGGGUGGUGGUGGAAAGCCUUUGCGGUGUGGGAUGGGCCCGCGGCCUAUCAGCUUGUUGGUGGGGGGAUUGCCUACCAAGGCGACGACGGGUAGCCGGGCUGAGAGGGUGACCUGGCACACUGAGACUGCGAUACGGCCCAGACUCCGACGGGAGGCAGCAGUGGGGAAUAUUGCACAAUGGGCGCAAGCCUGUUGCAGCGACGCCGCGUGAGGGAUGACGGCCUUCGGGUUGUAAGCCUCUUUCAGCACCGACGAAGCGCAAGUGACGGUAGGUGCAGAAGAAGGACCGGCCAACUACGUGCCAGCAGCCGCUGUAAUAC